CCUCCAGUAGCUGCCCGCCGCCGCGCUAGCUGCACGUCCCGACCACCUAUCCAAGCGCUCUCCCAGUGCCGUCGCAGCCUCACCGCCUCGCGCCACGCCGUCCGUGCCACCGCGCUGCCGGCAUAACAAACUCACACGGUGUCCUUUCUGUACAUAUUGUUUGUCACUUAACACCAAGACCACAUCGAGCUGCGCUCGCAUACACGUUCUUGCGGCACCCUAACGAGGACAAAGAGUAAUUUCAAACUAAAAAUUAUAUUAACUGAGCUGAAGCG